rnacentral:rRNA from 1 species
GACGUAGGGCGCGAGCGUUGUCCGGAUUUAUUGGGCGUAAAGAGCUCGUAGGCGGCUUGUCGCGUCGACCGUGAAAACUCGCAGCUCAACUGCGAGCCUGCGGUCGAUACGGGCAGGCUAGAGUUCGGUAGGGGAGACUGGAAUUCCCGGUGUAGCGGUGAAAUGCGCAGAUAUCGGGAAGAACACCUAUGGCGAAGGCAGCUCUCUGGGACGGUACUGACGCUAAGACGCGAAAGCGUGGGGAGCAAACAGG